GCAAGUUGUACGAGAAAGCUCUUCGGAGUGAGUAGAGUAGCGCACGGGUGAGUAACGCAUGGGAACGUACCUUUUGGUUGGGAAUAACCACGGGAAACUGUGGCUAAUACCGAAUAGUCUCGCAAGAGUAAAGAUGGCCUCUACUUGUAUGCUAUCGCCAAUAGAUCGGCCCAUGUCCCAUUAGCUUGUUGGUGAGGUAAAGGCUCACCAAGGCGACGAUCAAUAGCUGGUCUGAGAGGAUGAUC
rnacentral:rRNA from 1 species